AGAUUGAACGCUGGCGGCAUGCUUUACACAUGCAAGUCGAACGGCAGCACGGGGGCAACCCUGGUGGCGAGUGGCGAACGGGUGAGUAAUAUAUCGGAACGUACCCGGAAAUGGGGGAUAACGUAGCGAAAGUUACGCUAAUACCGCAUAUGCCCUGAGGGGGAAAGCGGGGGAUUCGUAAGAGCCUCGCGUUUUCGGAGCGGCCGAUAUCGGAUUAGCUAGUAGGUGAGGUAAAGGCUCACCUAGGCGACGAUCUGUAGCUGGUCUGAGAGGACGACCAGCCACACUGGAACUGAGACACGGUCCAGACUCCUACGGGAGGCAGCAGGUGGGGAAUAUUGGACAAUGGGCGCAAGCCUGAUCCAGCCAUGCCGCGUGUGUGAAGAAGGCCUUCGGGUUGUAAAGCUACGUUUUUGUUAGGGAAGAAAAGACCGUGGUUAAUACCGUGUUCAUGACGGUACCCAAAGAAUAAGCACCGCUAACUUCGUGCCAGCCGAGCCGC
rnacentral:rRNA from 1 species